AACGAGGCCGACCUGCGGCUGAGUUACCUGCGGAAGGAUCAUUAUCGUGGAGCUUCGGCUCCUUCGAGGGAGAACCCUUGCCUUUUCGAGCACCUGUUUGUUUCCUCGGCAGGCCCGCCUGCCAACGGGGACCCCUUAAACUCUUGCAAUAACCUGUACAAAAUCGUCUGAACAAAAAAAAUCUAAAUCAAAACUUUCAGCAACGGAUCU
rnacentral:misc_RNA from 1 species